rnacentral:lncRNA from 1 species
GCUAUAGAAAUUAAUAGUAGUACUACUGAUUUAGACAUACAGCCAGGCAGGGCACUACCGACCAAAGACGUUACGUUAAGGAAGGAAAUGGUGGUGGAGAAACGUGGACCGCCGUAAAACUAGUCUAGCUAAGCCAAAUAUGUCCAUAUUUAGAGAGAGAGAGAGAGAGAGAGAGAAACACGUGAUAGAGGUGGCCAGAUUCCCGUGAGAGACCAAACCAGAAGCCAAGCUAAGUCCAUAACCUCCCAAAUCAACACAUAAAACCAAUGUUUCCAUCUGCCCUGCCACUAUUACGUACGAACCAAACGUUACAAUUAUAUCUCACGGGCCUUCCAUCCACCCCCCCACAAAUAGCCAUCAUCUAUCUAACCACUUCCAAGUUACCAUCCAUCAUUUUAUUAUAUCCAUAUUUGUUUUCUGUUUUUUUUUUCUUUCUUAAUUAUUAAUUAGUGUUGUUUUUCAUAUGGUAAUGAUGGCUAUUUGUCAGAUUAUCCAAAGCCUUCAAGAAUGGCGGAAAGCGCUAUAGUUUAAGUGUCAAUUAAGAUAAUGUUUGAUUUUGUUUACACUUGACAGAUGAUUGACAAAAGUUUCUUUCUUAAUCAAAUGACUUCCUAACAAGGAAAUAUGUGAACUCUGUUUUUUUAAGAGAAAUUAUACUUAUAGUACUGUACGGCCAUUUGAUAUUACCCAUCCACAUGUUUUAAAAUAUAGCGAAAAUAUGACAAGAACGGCUACUAAAGAAUAAUUUAUACUUUUUUUGUUUUGACAAAAUGAACUACUC